rnacentral:rRNA from 1 species
GAGUUUGAUCGUGGCUCAGGAUGAACGCUAGCGGCAGGCUUAACACAUGCAAGUCGAGGGGUAUAGGUUUUCGGACCUAGAGACCGGCGCACGGGUGCGUAACGCGUAUGCAAUCUACCUUUUACAGAGGGAUAGCCCAGAGAAAUUUGGAUUAAUACCUCAUAGUAUUAUUGAGUGGCAUCAUUUAAUAAUUAAAGUUCCAACGGUAAAAGAUGAGCAUGCGUCCCAUUAGCUAGAUGGUAAGGUAACGGCUUACCAUGGCGACGAUGGGUAGGGGUCCUGAGAGGGAGAUCCCCCCACACUGGUACUGAGACACGGACCAGACUCCUACGGGAGGCAGCAGUGAGGAAUAUUGGUCAAUGGGCGCAAGCCUGAACCAGCCAUGCCGCGUGCAGGAUGACGGUCCUAUGGAUUGUAAACUGCUUUUUGACAGGAAGAAACACUCCUACGUGUAGGAGCUUGACGGUACUGUAAGAAUAAGGAUCGGCUAACUCCGUGCCAGCCGCCGCCGUAAC